rnacentral:rRNA from 1 species
UACGUAGGGGGCAAGCGUUGUCCGGAUUUAUUGGGCGUAAAGAGCGUGUAGGCGGUCUGGUAGGUCCGUUGUGAAAACUCGAGGCUCAACCUCGAGACGCCGAUGGAAACCAUCAGACUAGAGUCCGGAAGAGGAGAGUGGAAUUCCUGGUGUAGCGGUGAAAUGCGCAGAUAUCAGGAAGAACCCCCGUGGCUAAGGCGGCUCUCUAGUACGGUACUGACGCUGAGACGCGAAAGCGUGGGGAGCGAACAGG